rnacentral:rRNA from 1 species
GAUGAACGCUGGCGGCGUGCCUAAUACAUGCAAGUCGAGCGAACAGACGAGGAGCUUGCUUCUCUGAUGUUAGCGGCGGACGGGUGAGUAACACGUGGAUAACCUACCUAUAAGACUGGGAUAACUUCGGGAAACCGGAGCUAAUACCGGAUAAUAUAUUGAACCGCAUGGUUCAAUAGUGAAAGACGGUUUUGCUGUCACUUAUAGAUGGAUCCGCGCUGCAUUAGCUAGUUGGUAAGGUAACGGCUUACCAAGGCAACGAUGCAUAGCCGACCUGAGAGGGUGAUCGGCCACACUGGAACUGAGACACGGUCCAGACUCCUACGGGAGGCAGCAGUAGGGAAUCUUCCGCAAUGGGCGAAAGCCUGACGGAGCAACGCCGCGUGAGUGAUGAAGGUCUUCGGAUCGUAAAACUCUGUUAUUAGGGAAGAACAAAUGUGUAAGUAACUGUGCACGUCUUGACGGUACCUAAUCAGAAAGCCACGGCUAACUACGUG